UUCCCCCUUCGGGGGGACAGGGUGACAGGUGGUGCAUGGUUGUCGUCAGCUCGUGUCGUGAGAUGUUGGGUUAAGUCCCGCAACGAGCGCAACCCUCGACCUUAGUUGCCAGCAUUCAGUUGGGCACUCUAAGGUGACUGCCGGCUAAAAGUCGGAGGAAGGUGGGGAUGACGUCAAAUCAUCAUGCCCCUUAUGACCUGGGCUACACACGUGCUACAAUGGGCGGUACAAAGGGUCGCGAACCCGCGAGGGGGAGCCAAUCCCAAAAAGCCGCUCUCAGUUCGGAUUGCAGGCUGCAACUCGCCUGCAUGAAGCCGGAAUCGCUAGUAAUCGCGGAUCAGCAUGCCGCGGUGAAUACGUUCCCGGGCCUU
rnacentral:rRNA from 1 species